UUUUCCAAUGCCUUAUUUGCAUGCAAAGAGAGAUAACCCAGGAGUUUUGGAUACAAAAGAGCCUUUUUCCUUGGUCUUCAGGGCCACUGUGAGCCUCUGCCCUGGGCAGCUUUCACUAUGCAGAGAAAAUUUCUUUUCUGCCUCUCAUAAACCUAUACUUUAACUGCCUUUUCUGCAUGUCUUGUCCAAUUCUUUGUUCAAGACAUCAACAACCUGGAAAGAAACCUUGUAGGACCAGUUGCAGAGCCAGAAAAAGUGCCCACGGGAAUGCAGACACUGUCACUGCUUUGGAGGCUGGAUAUGCAGCCUAAGGAAAUUAGUGCUUAACAAGAGCCGGGCUCUGCUGGCUUUGCAACUCUUGCCUGGAGGCUGUGGCUGCACCAGGGGCCAAAGCAGUCAGAGAGGCGGGCCUGGCAGAGGCUGUGGUCACCUCUAAGAUUGCUGAGCCUCAGAAGUCCUCAAGGCACACACAGUCAGUAAUAGUCUAGGCUCUAAGAGCCAGAGGAAAGGGGGGGUGUUUGCAUUUUCCUCAUCUCCACAGCUGCCUCCAGCUGAAGGCCCCUCGGAGGGCAUAACCCCUAAUGGCCCCAGGGCUUGGAGCUCCUGCCUCUACACUGACUUCUGCCCUGAGAAGAGGCUGGUGCCAUAGAGGGGAGUCGGAGGGGCCUUGUCCUGCUGUGAAGAAAGUUCCAGAGUCCUGGCCUGUACUCCCUGGUUGCUGGAAGAAGAUAACUCUUGGGAAGUUUAGAAAUCGUCUCCCAGACAUGUAACAAGGAGUUGCUGAGCUGGUGGUGCUGAGUCUUCUUUGCCAUGGAUUUCACCUUCAGUUUUUUUUAUAGGACAAACAGAAAAGGUCCACGAUCUGGAGGCAGGCCUCUACUUUGCAAGUUGUCACAAACCUCUCCCAGAAGCUUGAAGGCCAGGCUCCCGGGUUGCCUGUCAGUGGGCACAGAUAGCAGUUGUCCUUACUCCCCAUCUGAGGGCCUGGGUGCCGAGGGUGGGAUGGGAUGGGGAGCCAUCUCCCCCAGGCUCAGGCAAUAUGGGGUACAUUGCAGAAAAUUAAAAAAACAAUAAUAAAUCAAAAUUCAGUCCGUUGUUUUUUUGUUUUUGUUUUUUUUUGGUACUGGGGAUUGAACUCUGGUCCUUGUGCUUGUGGGGCAGGUGGCGGAACCACUG
rnacentral:lncRNA from 1 species